rnacentral:rRNA from 1 species
GAUGAACGCUAGCGGCAGGCCUAACACAUGCAAGUCGCGGGGCAGCAUAAAAUAAACUUGUUUAUUUGGUGGCGACCGGCGCACGGGUGCGUAACGCGUAUGCAACCUACCUUAUACUGGGGAAUAGCCCGAAGAAAUUCGGAUUAAUGCCCCAUAGUACUGAGACCUCUCCUGAGGAUUCAGUUAAAGCUUUGGCGGUAUAAGAUGGGCAUGCGUCCAAUUAGCUAGAUGGUGAGGUAACGGCUCACCAUGGCGACGAUUGGUAGGGGGCCUGAGAGGGUGGUCCCCCACACUGGUACUGAGACACGGACCAGACUCCUACGGGAGGCAGCAGUGAGGAAUAUUGGUCAAUGGGCGCAAGCCUGAACCAGCCAUGCCGCGUGAAGGAUGAAGGUUCUAUGGAUUGUAAACUUCUUUUAUUUGGGAAUAAACCUCUUUACGUGUAGAGAGCUGAAGGUACCAAAUGAAUAAGCACCGGCUAACUCCGUGCCAGCCGCCGCGGUAAAAC